rnacentral:tRNA from 1 species
AGAAAUUUAAGUUAACUCAAACCCGGGGCCUUCAAAGCCCCAAAUGUGGACCUACCACAAUUUCUG